GACGAGGGGUGGUUCAACUUUCCACAGAAUCUCAAAAUGGCGUCGAAUGGAGGAAAUGUAGAAUUAGACGGGUUUUGAAACAAACGUAAUAACUCAGUUUAGGAUCUAUAAUUUGGUCUAUAAACAGAAGUCGCCUAAAAGUUUGACGCUCAAUAUCUGGCUGGAACUACUUCUUGUCACCCAAACCUUCGCUCUCUCGUACUGAAAAGCUGAAGUCACGCAUUUUCUGGAAACGAUAUCGAUAUCCUUA